AUAGGGUGCUCCCCUUACAAAGCCUUAUUCGGGAUGAAUAUGAUCAAUCACGGGGAUGACUAUAAACUAUUAAAGGAAAUGUCGAUAUUGGAAGAGUCACCUAGGUUAGAGCGCGAGGAUCACCUGCAGUCAUUUCAGAAACAAUUUCAAUAAAAAGUUGGCUUCCCAGUUCUCCAAGUGUAGAGUCAAACAAAAGCGAGGAAAUGCCUACUAUAUACUGGAAUCUCCACAAGGCAAAGAAAUCGGAACAUAUGCUAAAGACGUACGUAGCUAAUUACAGCUAAUCAUUCCUCGCCAGGUUCGUCAGAUUACCUGGUGGGUGUAAUGUACCAACCUUAAGAUCUUUAAAGAAAAUUUUCGAAAAGUAACUGAUAAUAAAGCCAGCACUCGUACUUAUCCGAGUUAUUUACCGGAGUAUGUAACCCCAUGUAAUCACAAGCAAAAUUGCCUUAAUAAAGACGUCAUUCUGUUUCGAGAACUCUAAGUGAAAGGUUGGCUUCAAAAACGUAGUCCAACUUUAAUUUCUGGCCAUACCACGUGCAUUCGAAAG